rnacentral:rRNA from 1 species
AUUGAACGCUGGCGGCAUGCCUUACAUAUGCAAGUCGAACGGCAGCGCGGACUUCGGUCUGGCGGCGAGUGGCGAACGGGUGAGUAAAGCAUCGGAACGUGCCUAGGAGUGGGGGAUAACGUAGCGAAAGUUACGCUAAUACCGCACAUUCUGUGAGCAGGAAAGCAGGGGAUCUUCGGACCUUGUGCUUCUGGAGCGGCCGAUGUCAGAUUAGCUAGUUGGUGGGGUAAAAGCUCACCAAGGCGACGAUCCGUAGCGGGUCUGAGAGGAUGAUCCGCCACACUGGGACUGAGACACGGCCCAGACUCCUACGGGAGGCAGCAGUGGGGAAUUUUGGACAAUGGGGGCAACCCUGAUCCAGCCAUGCCGCGUGAGUGAAGAAGGCCUUCGGGUUGUAAAGCUCUUUCGGCCGGGAAAAAAUCGCUUGGGCUAAUACCUCAAGUGGAUGAUGGUACCGGAAUAAGAAGCACCGGCUAACUACGUGCCAGCCGCCGCUGUAA